rnacentral:lncRNA from 1 species
CAAGAAUAUUGUUGGUCUUUUAAAUUUCUCCAUGCUUCUGUAAGUUGCAGCAGCCGCAGAGCACUCCAAGCACAAUCACUCUCAGAUCUCAUCUUCCUCAGGUAAAACCCAUCUCCCUCUCCCUCACAAUCACCCAAAGGUUUAAGCUUUUCAAUUAUUAGUGUUCAUUUGCCAAUAUAAUUCCCAGCUUUAGUAUUUUUUCCAGAUUCUGUACUUACUCCAAACCGUCACUGUAUACCAGCAUUGAUACCUCUUUGUUCUCAAUUUAGCAGUUAUGUACUUACUUUUGUUCUCAAUCAAUGGGAGCUUUUUUUUCUGUUCACGUCUCCUAUGCAUUUCAAUUUCCAGUUGAUAAUGUCAUUCAGAAGUGAGAAAUUUUUAAGAUGACAGGUGUGGAACACAUGCAUACCUUGAUUGGUUGUGGAACACGUGCAUAGCUGCUUUCUUUGCUUUUACACAGUAGUAUGCAUGUUUGAUGAAAUUUACUUUGAAUACAGAGUAUACAAUACUUAAAGAACUUGAACUUUGCUCUCAUGCCCCCAAAAGGAUCAAUACGGCUUUGAUUACAACAAUAAAUUUGUAAAGUGAAUAUAAGUUGCAUGUGAUUCCUCUGCGUUUUCUUAUUGAUAGAGAGUGAGAGAUGAAACUUGAUUUUGUAGCUUUGUUGUAUGCAG